rnacentral:rRNA from 1 species
GACGAACGCUGGCGGCGUGCUUAACACAUGCAAGUCGAGCGGUAAGGCCCUUUCGGGGGUACACGAGCGGCGAACGGGUGAGUAACACGUGGGUGACCUGCCUUUAGCUCUGGGAUAAGCCUGGGAAACUGGGUCUAAUACCGGAUAUGACUCCGCGGUGCAUGCUGUGGGGUGGAAAGCCUUGUGCGGCUGGAGAUGGGCCCGCGGCCUAUCAGCUUGUUGGUGGGGUGANGGGCCUACCAAGGCGACGACGGGUAGCCGGCCUGAGAGGGCGACCGGCCACACUGGGACUGAGACACGGCCCAGACUCCUACGGGAGGCAGCAGUGGGGAAUAUUGGACAAUGGGCGCAAGCCUGAUCCAGCGAUGCCGCGUGUGUGAAGAAGGCCUGCGGGUUGUAAAGCAC